AGUGAACGCUGGCGGUAGGCCUAAUACAUGCAAGUCGAACGGCCACACAGUAAGAGUUCGCCUCUACGGGUGGCGAGUGGCGGAUGGGUGAGGCAUACAUCGGAUUCUACUUUUUCGUGGAGGACAUCGUAGGGACACUUCUGAUACUACAUCACAUGAUCUACGGGUGAAAGCAACAGUUCUUCGCGCUUUGCGUGUCUCUAUGAGCCGAGGCCGCAUUACCUAGUUGGCGAGGUAAAGGCCCACCAAGGCAACGAUCCGUAGCUGGUCUGAGAGGAUGAUCAGCCACACUGGAACUGAGACACGGUCCAGACUCCUACGGGAGGCAGCAGUAGGGAAUAUUGAGCAAUGGGCGCAAGCCUGAUCGAGCCACACCGCGUGAGUGAAGAAGGCCUUCGGAUUGUAAAGCCCUGUUAUUAGGAAAGAAAAACAGCGUAAGAAAACACCGAUGUUCUGACGGUACCCAAAGAGAAAGCACCGGCUAACUACGUG
rnacentral:rRNA from 1 species